GACGAACGCUGGCGGCGUGCCUAAUACAUGCAAGUCGAACGCAGUGGGGACGGGUGAGUAACACGUGGGUAACCUCCCAUCAGAGGGGAUAACACUUGGAAACAGGUGCUAAACCGAUACUGAUGGAUGAACCCGCGGUGCAUUAGCUAGUUGGUGAGGUAACGGCUCACCAAGGCCACGAUGCAUAGCCGACCUGAGAGGGUGAUCGGCCACACUGGGACUGAGACACGGCCCAGACUCCUACGGGAGGCAGCAGUAGGGAAUAUUGGGCAAUGGACGAAAGCCUGAUCGAGCAAUGCCGCGUGAGUGAAGAAGGUUUUCGGAUUGUAAAGUACUUUCGGCAGGGAAGCGUUAUCUACAGAGAAAGCAACGGCUAACUACGUGCCAGCAGCCGCGGUAAUUC
rnacentral:rRNA from 1 species